UGCAGCGCGGCAGGAGCCGCUCGGCCGGGGCUGGGCACGGUUCUGCUCGGGCUGCUUCUCCAACACCUGCCAGAUCACAAAAUAUAUUGGAAUCAAGAGAGUUUCUAAAACCUGACUCUCAAGUACACUGCCUGUAGGACAAUUGAACUCACAACCUUGGCAUUACCAGGACUCUGCUCCAACUGACUGAGCCAGCCUCUGGGUCACAGGGAGAAAUGAGUAGGACAAGCCCUGAGGCUUCCCUUGCUGCGUGACCAAAGUUCUUCUGGAGAGUGGCGGCUGGAAGUGCAGAAGAGAUGGAAAGCUUUCCCAGGUGCUGGACUUGCCUCUGUAGAUGUGUGCUGAGCUCUUGCUGCAGGGGACUGUCAGGCCUGACUGGCUUGACAAGAACAUGAACUCACAGCCAUUCAGGCCUGACAGUCACUGAGGGAAAUCUGACCUCGUAUUAAUAAGGAACCUUUCCUGGGGGCAGCCAUCACCCCAGUCCUCCAGCCUUGCACCUCUCUCUCCAGCACAAAUCCCACUGGUCACAGACGCGGACGGAGCAGACCUAAGGCAAUGGUUCCAGCAGCAGCUGCAAUUCUGUUCAAGUUCCCUGCAAUGCUCACCCGAGCGCUCGUGGCAAUCUCGCCUCAGCCCAGACUCUGACCUCAGAGGGAAACGCAGCCUGAUGGGACACGGCUCUGGCACCCCAUUUCUGUUGUAUUUCACUGCUGUGGCACUGAGAAUGGUUUCUCCCUGAACUCCCCUGUAGCCUGCCUCACCGUUUAAGCCUUUCCCCUUCCCCUCCCCUCUAAGCUGAGUGGCUGGGGUCUGGGUUCCCUCUGCCCCUAGCAGGAGAUUUAAAAUACCCCAGACAGCCAGUCCAACUUUCUCUUUUCCCCUGGAAGCCUUCUGAAAUAAACCUUGGAACCCCUUCGGGGGGGAAGGAGCCUCUUUUGGUCUUUUAUCUCAUUCCUGCAGGGCUCUGGGCUUCUUCUUAGCACUGAGCUAGC